AGCAGGCCAUCGCUUGAAUACAUAAGCAUGGAAUAAUGGAAUAGGACUUUGGUUCUAUUUUGUUGGUUUCUGGAACCGGAGUAAUGAUUAAGAGGGACAGUUGGGGGCAUUCGUAUUUCGUUGUCAGAGGUGAAAUUCUUGGAUUUACGAAAGACGAACUACUGCGAAAGCAUUUGCCAAGAAUGUUUUCAUU
rnacentral:rRNA from 1 species